UCCACCAAUGAAAUAGCAGCUCACGCCCAAGCAAGCAAGGCAAGAAAGGGAAACAAGGAAAAAAAAAACAAAAACAAAACCAAAAACCAGAAAAAAACCCAAUUUUCUCUCGCUUUCCAUUUCUUUGUUGAUCCAUUGUUGAGAAAACAAAGAUAAAAAAAAGAUACAACAUCUUGCCAAUUACAGUAAUAAUAACACACAACCCAGAAAUUUUGACCUUUUUUCCCCUUAGGGUUUGAUAAAAGGAGGGAUUAUUAUUAUUAUUAUUAUUAUUAUUAUUAUGUGGUUGUGAGAAUCAAUGCGGUCUUUGAGAAAAAGACCAGAAUUGAAAAAAACCAAGAAGGUAAAAUCUGUGAAUGAAUCAAAGCAAUUGAAAGAACCCAGAUCUGAUGGUGGGUUUGUCUUUGGUUUCGUUAAAAAGGGGGGAUUUUUAUUGCUAUCGGGAUUGGUUUUGUCAUUGUUGUUGGGGUGCUAGUGCAGCAGUUGUUGUGAGGCUGCAUAGACAAGGA
rnacentral:lncRNA from 1 species